rnacentral:lncRNA from 1 species
GGGUUCAUGGGCCACGACAUGAGAGGGGUCCGGGUUGUACUUGCGUAGCAUGGACACAUGAAAUAUAUUGUGGACCUUAGAAAGCUUUGAAGGUAGUGCUAGUCUGUAGGCAGUAAUACCAAUCCUGUCUAAGACUUUGAAUCGUCCAAUGAAUCAGGGGUUCAAUUUUCCCCUCCUGCCAAACCUACUAAUUCCCUUGAAAGGAGUAACCUUGAGGAACACCCGG